UCGUCAUGGGGGAGUAAGGGACUACUCACUCCCACUCUGAGGACACUCUGGGUUUUGUGAUCACCACCCCCAUCUCCUUUAAGGGUCUAACUACACGGUCAGCAACUCCAGCCACUUUACCUUGUUUUCCAACAGACUUGAGAUUCGGAGUCCCGCAGCCUGUCUCCUUCCCCUCCACCCUGCUCAGAAGCUAUGGUCCACUACCUCAGCCAUUCUGUUGGAGCUGAACUGGCAGAUGAAGGUGGAACCCCAGCACCCUGGACCUCCUGGUCUCUUUGGGAAUGAAGGUCAUUGCUGUAUUCAUUGUCUUUAUCUUCUGCUGGACAACCUCCACCCUCAGCAGCUUCUGGCAAUUCCAGAGGAUGGUCAAACACAUCACAGGGCGCAGCGCCUUCUUCUCCUAUUACGGAUACGGCUGCUACUGUGGGCUUGGGGGCAGAGGAGUCCCUGUGGAUGCCACAGACAGGUGCUGCUGGGCUCAUGACUGCUGUUACCACAGUCUGAAGGAGGAUGGCUGCCAGCCAAUCUUGAAUGGCUACCAGUUCAGCAUUGUCAACGGGACUGUGGCCUGCUCCUCAGCUCGGCAUUGCUGUCUAGGGAAUGUCUUCUCACUCAGCACCGGGGACUGGAAGUAAGAAAUGGAGAGUUCCUGCUCUGGAACAGACCAUGGGUGUCUGGCAAUUCAGAGGCACAUUCCAACCCAAGUCUGCCAUCUGUAAACCCUCUGGCAGGACGCAGGCUGGUCUGGUGACUCAUAAAACCGGGUGCCAUUACAAAGAUGCUGUUCAUUACUGCCACAAGGAUGUCACGGCAAAGAUGACAUGAAGAAAAGGAGAGAAGAUGGGGGACAGUGGAUCCAAGGCACCCUAAAUCUCCACCCCCACUUAGAAGCCUCUGGUCCUGUAAGUCUUAAAUCUAGUAAACAGGGAAGGUCUAAUUGAGGUGGAGUCAUUUUGUGGUGCCAGAUUGGAAUAGUGGACCUCAGACACAGCUGUGACCAGGCUCGCCUCCCUGCCAUGUGCAGGUGAUGAGCAGCAGGGAUUUAAAGAAGCACACACAGACUCAAGUCUAAGAAUUUUGAAUUCUGAGGAGAAUGCUGAGAGUUGUAGCAGCUUCUACCAGUGCCAGAAGUUAAAACCUGGAUUGAGAACGCAGAGCACAUGAGGAUAGAAGCUCCGUGGAGAGCCAGGGCCCCUGAGGACUUCCUGGUUCAACCUACAGUCCCCUUUCUUCCCCCAGCCUGCCAUGUCAGAAAGCAGACGUGUGUGGGAUAGAGGGGCAGGAAUCUUUGGCCUAGGAGUUUGGGGAUGGGCUCAGACAUGAUACUAGUGUGGCUAGGCUAAGCCAGUAGCACGCCGCCUUCUGGGAGGUCCUGUCAUAUCAGAGACUGGUUCUAACCUGGGAAGAUGUCUGAAUGAAGGCUCAGGUGGAAGAAGGGCCAGGAUGGUGUUCAGCAUGCCUCCAUGACUAGGUUGCUAUGUGAGAUCCAGGUCUCCUUUGCCUCUGGGGCCAGCUUCUGUACGGAAGUGGAUGGGAUAAGUUAUGGAUGGUGCAUGAGUCCCAGUCAGUGCCCAGAAUCAAAGCAGAGAGUGUUGGAUUUGUAAAAGGAUGCUGUUGGUGCUUGCAGGAAAUACCACUCUCUUGGAGGGCAGUCAUUCAUCUGCACUGGGGACUGACUUUACCCCAGGCCUGUGAUGAGGGUUGAGAAGUAGAAAUUCUACUCCAAGGAGCUGUCAGACUGGGGAGGAAGGACACAAGGACCAGAUAGCUUGAGAGGUGCUGAGAUCGGUGUCCGCUUGGGGAGCAAUGACUACUGUCUGGGGAGAAGGCUUCUUCAAGGAUCCAGGCUCAGGGUGGGCUGACAUCUUGUCCGAGACCCUAAAGAAGAGAGUUGAGAUGGCCAAGUGUGGUGUGUGGACCCCACCCUCUAACCAA